rnacentral:lncRNA from 1 species
UCGUGUAGUUAAGUUUAGUAUUUCAAUCGUGUAAACCAUAGCACAUUUCAAAACAUUUGAUGUCGUGGGAAAGAACAGACUUUAUACCAUUUUAAGGUUUGGUUUGAUAGACAACAAGGACACUUACCUUCACGAUUAAUUAUUAAUCAAGAAGAGGUUCGUAUGUCUACAACGGUGCUCCAAUGUUAUCUUUAUAAGACUGUUGGGCCUUGGUGUUCUUAACUAUUACUACAACAUGUACUGAUGCCCUUGAUUGUUACAUGUGCACCAAUGCAACCUACGUGUCCGAAUGCAAAUCUACAACAACCUGUAAUGCAGGAGAGAUUUGCUUCUCCGACCACAUUCAGACGCCGCACGGAAUGUUGUAUUCAUUUGGAUGCCGAGAAGAAGCGGUAA